GAGAAGGAAGGCGGCAACGUAACGUACGAGAAGUACUGCCUGUCGUGGCCGUGCGAGAACGAGCAUGCUAGCUGGAAGUGUCAGUGGGGAGCUCAGAGCGAGUCUUGCACCGAGUGCUGCUACGGCGCUGACUGCCACAAGCGCGUUCACUUCACGAAGAAUGCUGCCACCUAUCGGACGCUUUCACUACUACUCUACCUGCUGGCACCUUCUUUGCUCGUAAUUCGUGGAAGGCAAUGAUGCAGGCGAGGCGCCACUACAGUGAGCAACACCACGAUGUUGGUUAGAAUGCGUAUUAAUUAACAUUAAUGUUAAUAUUAAUUAGCUGCGGGGCUGACAGCAGUGUGUGUGCUAACUAGAAUCACGGUGAAUUGGAGACCUGUCGAAAGAAACGAGCAAACAAAGCGAGUGUGGAUUUCAUUUUAAAAUUUAUUAGUAAGUCAACUUUCGAUCGAUCAUAAUCGCCUACCUUUCGAUUAACAUCUAACACUGCAAGUUCGCGGACUCGUUAAAGGAAACAAACGUGGAUAGCAUGAGUAAAAAAACACUGCUUCUAGUGACUUUACCAUGUAUUAGUGAUCGUCUUUCUCCUCGUAAAAGUUACGCGACGAAAACCCGUUUUAAAUCGAGAGGCGUCGCGACAAGAACAGGAGUUCCGCGGGAAAUUCGAGAAACGUUUACAGCUAACCAUUGUCAUAAUUAUCAAACGAAUAAAACAAUAAUUACAGCAUUUACGACAAAGGCCAAUCACCGCCGUGGUUACUCACUGUCGCUCGAACG